GAAAACCAUAACUCGUCAUUUAUAUAAACUUUAAAUAGAUUGGUUCUCAACUAAACUUAAAAUAUAUACAUAUAUAUAUGUAUAUAUAUAUAUUCGGCGAUAAUAUAUAUACACUAAAUAUAUAUAUAUUCAGUAAUUGAAAAGGUAAUAUAUAUUCACUACUGAAUAUAUAUAUAUAUACACUAAAUACUUGGCUAGUUUGUUAACUAUCUUAAUCUCUGCUUAGCAUACCAUUCCAAU
rnacentral:lncRNA from 1 species